UAACAAUUUGAACAAUGGCUGCGCGUCUCAGGAUAAUGUCCUCACAGGAGAAGAGUUAAAGAAAGACACGUAAAUAUUCCUGUUUGAUUGCUCUCCUGCUCAACCUAUUUCCACUAAUCCACAAAAAUAAAAAGUUAGCUUUGAUCACACCAACAUUUAUUCGUGUACAGCAGCAGCAUCCUUGUUAGCUUCGGUAAUGAAAGAGGUUCAAUUUGCAACAAGGCUCUUACCAGAACUAUUUUUAAGCACAGCAGUCAUGAGAGGGAAACAAACAAAGCAAGAACAGAACAAAGAAUAAACCUCCUUAAAAAAACACAGAGAGAGAAACUGAGAGAGCUGAAGGUGGCAGGGACAUGGGGAAGUUAAAAAAGGGAAAAGGUUAGUUGGGUGGCCUUUAUAGAUCUGUGUGUCUGUGCAGGGGGAUCAGCAGGCACUGGCUGAUGAACUUCACUUUCUAUUAGUGGCCAUUGCGCGGAUGUUCUUUCCCUGCCGAUCAAUAGGCUGAAGGACAAGAGUGUCAGAAAAAUGAAGGACCCUUCUCUUUCUUGGCAAGCCAGGGUGGGAGCGGAGGGUGAGGCGCUGAGUGCCAGGGAGCCCAGGGGUCCCUCUGGAGCCACUUUGACUGAAGGAGCCCAUUUGCGAGCAGGAUCCACAGAGUACUGGCAGUGGGUUUGGACAUGCCCAGCACUUUUGAUAGGCUGAAAGCAGCUGCACUAAAGCAAGAUAAAGCUCCACCAUCAAGAUGAUGAACAGUGUGGAUGAAGAGGCUUCGCACUGAGCACAAAGGCCGGAGCGGAGAGGCUGAGGCAGCGGUGAGGACAGCUGAAGAAUGCCAUGCCGGGCAAGGAUGAAUAGCUCUCAUUUGUGAAUAUACAGAUCCGCAUGGUAGAGGAGGAGGAGAGAAAGAGAGAGAGAGGGCAAGGGAGAGAGAUGGAGUGGAGGCAGGGAGAAAAAAAUGUAAAGGAAAAACGAGGCAGAGGAAAAAAUCCACAGGUCAUAAUAAAUAAAGUUGGGAGAGCAUGGUGGCUAAUGAUAAACGUGGCAAUGGGAAACACACAGUGAGGGGUAUAGAGAGUGUGCGUGUAUGAGCAUGGGAAAAACAGCUGUAGAAGAAGAGGUUGGGGCUCAUUUUCUCCACUCAUCUCAUAGGGGUAAUUAAGCAGUGGCCUGCAUUGCCUGAUAUAUUAGUCUAAUGAUGUGCUCCCGUGUUUCACGUUAAGCUCGUCUCUCCUGGUAGUGUUUGCCAUGUUGUUUCAUACAGGAACUGAACCAGCAUGUACCACUCAAAGACCUGGGCUGUCCAGCCCCCUGCACUGGAGAUGCCUUUCAUUUCAAUUAGCUGGCACAACAGCUCCUGUACACCUGCUCUGAGCUGAGCUUGUUUAAUUUUAUUGCAACAACCAUGAAAUGCAAUGAUCAAUACAUUGUUGCCACUAGUUUGCCAUUUAGAAGCUGCAUUACAGACCUGUGCAUUUGUUACUUGCGCCCGCUCUUUCUCUCUCUCUUUCACAUGUCCCCCUCAUUCUCUUCUUUAAAGAUGUCUGGAAUAUUAAGCUGUGACCCCCUGCUGCCCCAUCUCCCCCCAUCUCAAGCUAAAAGCACAGUGUCCUUUUUAGUCGGAACAAAACCCUUUUGCUCCAGUGUUGCAGGAGUGCUGCAUUCAGGUGGGACCCCCCCCCUUCCCCCCGCCUUCUCAGCCCUGUGCCCCAAAGAGCCUCCCAAUCAAUAGAGAUGUAAAUAAGUUCAGACAGUUGCCAGACCUUUGUCUACGUCUUACAUUCGAGAGGCAUCACAAGGAUCUUUUUUUUUUUGUCAGUGUCCCUUGUUUUGUAUGCUUUCAUUGCACGUCUGGGCAGAGAUUUUUAAUCUGUUUAGCUCAGUGUUUAUGGAAAACAGCCUGUUACAAACUCACAUACAUACAAUAUUCCUGCUCUAAUUCGCUAGCAUGUAUGAUGUGUGUCCACCUCAAUCAACUGUGUUAUCGUUCACUCUUUUUCUAUAUUUUCACCUUUCAAAUGAAAAGGUUGUAACUUUAACAGUAUCGUUCCUGUGUUGAUGGGGAUAAGCGCACAGCUGAAAGCCCAUCCAGGUUUGCAAAAAGCAAAAGUUCUCAGGUCACAAUACUGGAAUGCAUUAGUAAUAACCGAUAAUUAACACCUGUCCCACGGGAUGCUUUAUGGACGUUUUGAAUGAUAAAAAAAAGUUUAAACUGCCUUCGUUCCCAUCUGCUUCAUGAAAUUUGCAGUGAUGAUAUGAGGAUUCUAUGCACUAAAUGGUUAAACAUGUUUAAUCACUUCAGUUUCAUAGCAAAUACCCAGUAAUAUCAACUCACAGAACUUACAUCUCUAAUUUCUAGGAAACUGUGUCACCUGAACUGGCAUUAACCUGAGAGGACAUUUCUGAUAAAAGUCUGUCAUUUCAUUACAGUGAAUCCUGUAGCAGUGUUUAUCCCAGCUGUCACUUAAAUGCAGUCUUUCCUAUAGCCAUUCUCUACAACACAUUCACUUCAGUCAAUUUAAGAUGGUUUCAGACAUCACUGCAGAGCUCAAAAUGCCUAAAACUGACAUGAUGAGAAAUUGUUAUGGUUUGUUGUUUGGUUUGCAUUCACGCUUGUUUCUGCCUGUAUAUCGCUGUCCAAAAAAUGUGUAUCAGAUUUCAGUAACUUAUAUAGCGUACAUUGACUUGUUUACUGUAGAAUAACUUACAUAGUGUAGAAUGUAAUAAACUGUUUUCUAAGUUAAAACACAAACUAGUUUGUUAUUUCCAAAUGAAAAUAUUCUGAAAACAAUGACAGACAUGGUAAAAAAGAACAAAUGUUACACAAGUUACUAAAUAAUGAACAGAAAGAUUCUACUUAUAAUUCUCACAAUAAAAAGCAGAUUUUCUUGUCUAUGGUAUGUUUUGUUACUAUGAAUAGCUUUUUAGUUGACUAGACUUGGUCACCAUUUAGGAAUAUGAGAUAUUCUAGAUAUUAAUUAUAAGUUAAUUCUCAGUGUUAAGCAGUGCUUUCAAGUAUUUUGGAAGCACUCAUCAUUGAAACCUUUUUUGAAAAGUUGAAAAUAUAUACAGCUUCCAACUGUAGAGUGUUUUGUUAUACAUGUGCCUGCAACAGAAGAGAUUUUACAUUAUGGAAAAUAGGGAUUCCAGACUUUUUGGCCCAUAUUCCAUUUAUUCAUUUAUUUACUUAACAGCAACAGAACAUUAUAACUGUGUGCAGUAUUUACUAUUUGUUUGGGAACAUGCUGAUAGAGCAUGCUGAAAACAUCUUAAUAUUCUGUUAACAUAAUAACGACUUACUAUUAGGUUAGUAUGCCUGUAGCAUGGCCUCCUACACAUAGUUCUUUAGUGUAACCAGGAAAGAUCACGACCAUAGUUGUUAUUAAUUGAUUGCUAUUGUGCUUUACACCAGGAUAAUUAUUUACAAGUUCUUAUCCAUAAUAAAGGUUUGAUUUUCAUUGGGUUUAGCACCUUGUCUUGUCAGUACUUGAGGAAAAGCUGAGCGCAUUGCUUUCGUCUUUAUCACCAGGCAUAAUGGUCAGAGUGACAGCAGUGUAGUAGUUGUUGAUGCCAUAAUGUGGCACCGGGGCAGUUUUUCUCACUAACACCUACUCUAUGUGCCCCUUGUGAACAUGUGCUAUUUCCACGGGCGCUGCAGACUCUUCACACCUGAAAAUGCAGCAGAGACACCAACUCGCUUCCAAUUAGCAUCUCGCUCCCAUAAGAGCCUCGCACACCCAGACACACACUCGCACACAGACAUGCACACGCGAACCUGCAACACCAUAUCAUUCAGGCUGCUUAAGGUUAAU